rnacentral:rRNA from 1 species
UACGGGGGGAGCAAGCGUUGUUCGGAUUUACUGGGCGUAAAGGGCGCGUAGGCGGCGCAACAAGUCACUUGUGAAAUCUCCGGGCUUAACUCGGAAAGGUCAAGUGAUACUGUUGUGCUAGAGUGCGGAAGGGGCAACUGGAAUUCUCGGUGUAGCGGUGAAAUGCGUAGAUAUCGAGAGGAACACCUGCGGCGAAGGCGGGUUGCUGGGCCGACACUGACGCUGAUGCGCGAAAGCCAGGGGGGCGAACGGG